GGGAUAAUAGUAUAGUGGUCAGUACUUCUCGUUGUGGUUCUCGAUUCUCUUCUGAGACACAAGAUUCCGAGAGGACCCAGGUUCGAUUCCUGGUUAUCCCA